CAAAACUUAGCUCUUGCCAAAAUCAUUCCCGGGGAUGCCUUGGCCUAGGCAUCUGACCGAGACCACCAAGGCUGUUAAAUGUCUUUACAUCCGAAAUUCUAGCCAUGCCUUGGUGUUGGCUGAGUCUCACUCUCACGCGGUGGUCCACGUGAAGUGCACUCAAAUCUUUACCUCUAGAGAAACCCUACACACGGCUCUCUAAUCGAGGUAAGGUAUAUCUGAUUCUGUGCCCCUUCUCUUAGGCUGGUCCACAGAACCUCCACUGCAGGGAUUAUGAAUUAUUUUAUCUACCACCUGAUUUAAAAAAUCCUUUUCUGCAUGACAUGGCAAUUUAUCGCAAUCUAGCCUCUCAAAGCUGAAUACAUAAUAUAUAUAAUUUUGAUACAAACACAGACUUUGCCAUUCAUGCUCACAUAUUGCUAUAAGCCAUAUAAUUUAAAACACAAUUUAUAACGCAAGCGGGCAGUCUCCAAUUACUCUACUUUCAAAACCAGUAUUCAAUUUUUUAGAAAAUUUAUAAAAUCAUUGUAUAAAAUCACAAUUUUUCCUAAAAUAUAGCAAUUUACCAUUUAAACUCAUUUUCUAUAAAAUCACACAAUUGAAUAAAACUACUCUAGAUAAUUAAGAUGAUAAUAAGUUUACUCACAGGUUUCAAAAGUUCAGAUUGUGGGUGUACUCAGCUUAGUGAUCCCCAAGCGUAAUUGCCUUGCCUUUGUCGAAAGGCACACCACCUUGACACAGUAUAAAAUCAAGGAAUUUACUACGUUGCCCUUAAAUUGAAAUAACUAAUUUAGAUCACUAAUGCAUGGUAUGAAAUGCAAAAGGUCUAAAUUUUGCCUAAACACCGUAUUGACCUAUUUCGGUCUUUUACCCGACAAAUUGAAAUGCGCAUCCAAUUUAGCUCCAAUUGAUCCCAUUUCUUUUUCUAAUGCUUCAAAUCACCAAUGUCCAGCCAAAUAACCCAAAAAUCAGCAAAGCCACAUUCAUAUUCCUUCUUGGAAAAAUUUGACCAAAAUGGUGCAUCAUUGUCACAAUUUUUCCUACUUGAUUUUCUUUCCAUAAUUCAUUAAUUUUCAUAUCAAAAACCAUGAUUUCAUAAUCAAAUAACCUAAAAUAACAUUACAUUCUUCCUCACCAUUGACUUGAAAAUUCAGCUAAGGCUAGGUAAUGGGAAAAAUGAAUGUUUUUCUUCAUAUUUUGUUUACUAACAUGCUAAACUAACACUAAACACUAACAUAUAUCAAAAUCAAAUCAAUCCAACAAUUUUCUCUCUCUAGACCCAUAUGACCAGCCAUUAAAUCACCAUGAAAACAUGUAAUUUAAUCAUGGAAAAUAAGGAGAAAUGCUUUGGAAUAAGAAAACUCAAGCUUAAUAGAAAAAUCUUACCUUUUUCACUUAAUUUCCUUGAAAAUUCACACUUUUUUUUUAUUUUCUCUCUCUAGGGUUUGGUUUUUGUUUUCUCUCUCUUCUUGCUGGUUUGGCC
rnacentral:lncRNA from 1 species